GCUCUCCUGCUCGGGACACCUUCUGCUCGGGAAAGUAUGGCUUGCCAGAUGUUUGUGGCUGACUGGGCUGUGGUGCUACUAUUUUUUGGAUAACACUUUCUCCCAUACCCUUUAAGCAACAGCACAAAUCGCCUUCCCUGCCUGUGAGAAACACCCACUCCUACUGUCUAAACAAUGAUGGAGUCUAGAGACAGAUCACCCAGCUCUUUUAUUCUCCAAUCUACCUCUUCUGAUUGGGGUGAGAAAGGACUUAAGAUAAACCCAUUUUAGUCCUUGUUAGGUGCUGUGAAAAAAUAUCUGCACCACCUUUGUUCCCUUAGUCAGUCAGAGACUCAAAAAUGGAUUGAAUGAAAAAGGAAAUCUAAAAAAUAAAAUGUCGUUUUUGAUAUUUGUCCAUAACCACUUGCAAGAUAUGAUUCUCCUUGUCUGGAAAACAAGUUGGAAGCUCCCCACUGUAAGUGGGCCACAGUCGUCAGAGUGAUGCGAAUGCAUUUCUGUUACCAUAUACUUACCUUAGAGAAUGUGAGAAAGGAUCACACCUUUAUUCUUCAGGGAAGCAGCAGAAGUCCAUGAAGGAGCAUUGGCAUGGAUGGGAGGAGAGCCAGGAACCCAGGGUUUACAUUGGCGCUUGGAUAAGAUGUCUUUUUAAAAAAGUAUCUUGAGGUUGCAUUUUAUCCUUCAAUUAAAUAGAAACUGAAAAAUUAGAAGUUGGGCUCAGAGAAGAGCAUGACCCUUUGAGCCCACGGAAGCAACUUUGGAGAUUUCUACAGAGGUUAAUACAAGGGCUAAGAGAGCAGUGAGGUUAAAAACAUUUACAGUGAAUAUCCUGGCGCUUGUGUGAAAAAAAGGAAAUCAGCAAGGUUCAUGGACACUGACUGAGAAGACAGAAAGUAAAAAGUGCCAUAAAAGAGUCAGACGCAAGAUCUUCAAGUAGUUAAACAAACUCUUCCAGUGACAAUGGGAGACAGGUAGAAGGAAAGACAGGAUCGCUGACGACCUCAAUCCUGGUAUCAGAAGAAGGCUACUUCUCAGUAGUCAUUCACUUCUCUUUUCAAAAUGCCCUUCACAGACGCAUUUACAAGUGUUCACGAGGAAGUGCUCUGCAGGUUUUAUCUAAGCCAGGAGGCUAAUGGGCUGAGCUCCUUGCUCUGAAACUCUGAUUGCUGAUGGUACCCUGUUCCUGGUGGAAGAAGUAGGUGAGCUCAGACCUCAUCAGUCUACAGCCUUUCCUGACUUCCAACAGCCAUGAAAUUGGUUUUUCAAAAAGAUCUACAUUAUGAUAACGAUUGUACCUUCGCUGGGCAAAUAUCUUUACAAACUAGAUGACAAAAUAGAAAUAUGUUG
rnacentral:lncRNA from 1 species